AAAAGGUAAAGUUGUAUAUGCUGGAGGUAAUAAUAACUCAUAAUAAUAAAGUGGGUUAUCAUAAUUUGUUUAUUAUUUUAAGCAAUCAUUUUAAGGAAUGUAUUUAUUUUUGUUUCGCCGUGGCUGUAAUAAUAUCGGAGUGCUAUACGGCAGUGUUAAAAUCGAUAAAACCACCGAGAAGCGUGUAGGAAAACCGCGGGCCAAUGGUAGCGCUCGGGAAAUCGGCCAUUUUCCAGGAGCGGCGAUU